rnacentral:sRNA from 1 species
GAGGGUCGGGGCGGGGUCUCAGGAUGCAGCCGGGCGGCCUCUCAAGGCUGCGGACGCGGCGGGGAGAGGGAGGGCUAUCUUCAGGCUCAUGCAGGAGGGGAAGAUUGGGCCUGGUCUUGAAAGAUGGGUAAGUCUUGGACUGUUGGGAAAAGAUGGGGAGGGCCUUUUCGUUGAAUGGAACUGAAUAUCGCUGCUUUUGUUUUUAGAGUUGAAAAUUUACAGAGUCCUGAGGCUUUCAGACUGAAAAAGGCUUUCUUCUGUCACUGAC